rnacentral:sRNA from 1 species
GACCGGCUAACAGUAACUCCUGGCCUUGUCACCGCCAGCAACCCAUUGGCUCCCCGUGUCAGUAUUUGGAACCCAGUGCAGGGGGCCGGCUCUUGCCCGCCUGCGCAAUGCUUCCUAACCUUGGAAGUCCCUCAAGUUAGCACAUCCAUCCUCCAAACAACAACAGCCUUCCAGAACAACCCCACGGUGGGCUCCGCGGGACUGCUCGGCUGACGAAGAGCUCUCGAUGGAGGGGUUGGAAAACGUCAGAGGACAGUUAUGGGUUUUUUUUUUUUUUUUCUUUGGCGAGCCACGACCCCGCAAGACCACCCACUGCCCUGAUACUGGCCAGCUCCUUACUCUGUAAUUGAGUUUGUUGUCAGUACAACUAUACUCGAUUGCUAGUUAAAUGUGAAAAUCAUGGACUCUGCACAUGAACCAGCCACAAACAGCACUUAUCCCAAGCCGCAUUCAAUAAUGAAGUCAUGACAUGCAGAACUGAGUCUUUUUUUUUUUUUUUUUUUUUCAUCUUUAUUGAUUCAUUCAAGCACUGCAGCAAGGAGUCUAUGGAUUUAAUUCCUGUGCGGAUUACUAUUCAUACAUCCCCUUCCACCAUUCCGUCUUCCCCCUUCACCCCCACUCUCUCACCCGCCCAAGUUAAGUUUUAACCUUUUAGGCAAUGCACGUAACUUUUUCAAACCAGCGAACGUAAAGUUAUCGAAGAACCGUGAAAAAAAAAAAAAGAGCGCAAUAACAUUCCAACCCUGAGGGAAGAAAAGAAUAAGAAAAAGGAAAAAGAAAGCCAGGGACAGAAACAGAAACGGGAACGGAAAUCGGCCAUUGGCAGAGGCAGAAAACAAACGGAGACAAAGAAGAUGAACUCCAUGUAACAGCAGUGAGUUUGCAAACCUACCUCUACAUUGUAUAUAUGUAGAUAUCCAUCCAGAAACCCAGUAUGUCUUUCUUUCCUUUUGCGUGCGUGUACCCGACUUGAUCUACAAGUCGGAAUACUGGAUUAGCGCUUUGCAAUAGUUAAUACCUUGGUAAAAAAAAAAAAAAAAACCGGGGUACGAGACAAGCGUUGUUCCGAAGCCUGUGUCAGGGUUAAUAGUAGACAGUGG